GAGCAUCGCAAGCCAGAUUCCUAUCCUCGUCAUCUCCCUGAUGUGGGGAUACCCACCGAGGAAGUCCUGAUGUACUUGACAAGGGGAGUAGACCACAUAUCCAGCAAGAGAAGCAUUUUGGUGGAAACAUUUGAAAAUUCUCAGCAGAAGGCACAGGGAAGGAAAAGAGAAAAUAAAGGGAUAAAAAGGGAAGC